GUGUUUCCGCGGCAAAACCUGGCGCAUGCGUAUACGCUAUUCAGCUCUGUCGCUCCCAUCACGAGUCAGCCAUCUUCGUUGUAAGCAUGGUCUUGAGCAAUUUUUUUCAGGUAGUCGUAUCACGAGUUAGUUCUUCUUACACAAGUCAACACACCCAGACCCGGCUUGUGUCGUAAGUGCAGCUUGUGCAAGGAGAAUGCCACUACAGUAUAGCUUAUUUUCACUUAAUGGCACUUUCAGGUGGCUUCAGAAACUUUCAAACUCUUUUAGACACUCAGUGGUGCAACCUGCACCAAUAGAUCUAACCGAUAGUUGUUGGCUUCCGAGCGUACAAUGACUCCUUUCAGUGUGGUACAACCCGUACCGAAGAUUCAAGCAGUUAAAUGUUGUCUUUUAAGAGAGCGCACCGUUGAGAAUUCACAGAGGCAUUAUUUCAAAACGAGAAAAUUGCUCAAGUCAUUUUCAUGCUGAAAAUCUCAUGGGGAUGCUGGAGGUCGCACAGUAGAGAGAAUCCUGGCCUGACCCACCACUGUGGCCAGCUGGGUUUAAUUCCAAGAGCUGGCAUCACAUGCAGGUUCAUUUUGUUGGUGGUUCUCCUUCUUGGUUCAGUGGUUUUUCUCCAGAUCCUCCAGUUUUCUUCCCUCCACAAAAACCAACAUUACAAAGUUCCAAUUCGACUAGGAAACAUUGAACAAGAAGAGCCACCUUGUGGAUUAAAAUUCCAUUAUAAUAAUUUUCAGUUUUGUUAUUUAAUUCCCACUACACACUACAAGCAUUACAAUCAAUUCAAAACCAAAACUACUUCUUAAUGGGACUUGCUCAGAAUUUUCCCUUAAAUGUUUGUCACAGGCUUGUGACAAGAUGAAAAGCUUCUCAUUCAAUUUCUUUACCCACCUUAAAACUUACCAUCUUUCUUAUUCUAUGUACAAAACUAUAACUUAUGAAUCAGUCUUUGAAAAUUACUACAUAAAUAUUAAACUAUUAUGAUUAAUUUCUGAUUUGCUCUUUCAGGAAUGAGCCCCAGCAUGGCUUUUCAAGAGUCGAAGUAGACAGUAUAUGAAUGCAAAGAUGAAACAAGUAUAAAUGAAAAAAUGGUUAGGAAGAUAGGAUUACAAAGAACAGCCAAGGAAUAUGUCUUGGAAAAACGGUCAGAGCCACUGGGUCCCCAAAAGUCUUGACACAACUCUAGAAAGCGUGGGAACAAUGAAACUCUCUCUGGUCAGAUUUGGCCGAAAACGAAAUCAUGAAGAAGAAAAGGAAGAGCCCAAUAUUCAGUUCCAAGAUUACACUUAUAAUACAUACAGGGUAAGUGUAACACAAUAUUAGCGACCUUAACUCUUUUCACCCCUAACAUCAAUAUGCAUAUUCUCCAUACUGUUCUCUCUAAGUUUCGAAAGGUGCUGACAAGGAGAAUUUGUCUUCCAAGCAGAGUUUAUUUAUAG